rnacentral:rRNA from 1 species
CACGUAGUUAGCCGGAGCUUAUUCUACAGGUACUGUCUUUUUUCUUCCCUGUCUAAAGCAGUUUACAAUCCGAAAACCUUCUUCCUGCACGCGGCGUCACUGCGUCAGAGUUUCCUCCAUUGUGCAAUAUUCCCCACUGCUGCCUCCCGUAGGAGUCUGGGCCGUGUCUCAGUCCCAAUGUGGCCGUCCACUCUCUCAAGCCGGCUACUGAUCGUCGCCUUGGUGAGCCGUUACCUCACCAACCAGCUAAUCAGACGCGGGUCCAUCCCAUAGCGAUAAAUCUUUGAAGAAAAGAACAUGCGCUCUCUCCUUGUUAUGCGGUAUUAGCAGCCGUUUCCAGCUGUUGUCCCCCUCUAUGGGGCAGGUUCGCCCACGCGUUACUCACCCGUCCGCCACUCAGUCAUUACCAUCUUCCCUCCGAAAAGUUCCGUCGGUAGUGCUUCGUUCGACUUGCAUGUGUUAAGCACGCCGCAGCGUUCAUCCUGAGCCAGGAUCAAACU